GAUGAACGCUAGCGGCAGGCCUAAUACAUGCAAGUCGAGGGGCAGCGCGGUAGCAAUACUGGCGGCGACCGGCGCACGGGUGCGUAACACGUAUGCAACCUACCUUCAACUGGAGGAUAGCCCGGGGAAACUCGGAUUAAUACUCCAUAACACAGGGAUCCCGCAUGGGAAUAUUGUUAAAGCUACGGCGGUUGAAGAUGGGCAUGCGUUCGAUUAGCUAGUUGGUGUAGGUAACGGCUCACCAAGGCUACGAUCGAUAGGGGGUCUGAGAGGAUGAUCCCCCACACUGGUACUGAGAUACGGACCAGACUCCUACGGGAGGCAGCAGUAGGGAAUAUUGGUCAAUGGGGGCAACCCUGAUCCAGCCAUGCCGCGUGAGUGAAGAAGGCCUU
rnacentral:rRNA from 1 species